AAUUAGAAAGCGAAAAUUUGCAUUUAGUUUCGACCUAAAUUUUGGCGUAAAGCCUCUAAUUU
rnacentral:tRNA from 1 species